CGGGCCGGGAGCGGCGCGGCUGCACCUCAGGUUGGGAGUGUGGCGGUGCUGGCACGGCCUGGGCUGAGCGAGGGCUCGGUCCCCCUGAGUGGGACCCCAGUGCUGGGGCCUGAGCACCUCCUGUUCCAGGGCAGAGACGGGACGGGGCCUGACAGUCAGUGAAUGUCACCGAAAACAGGGAUAAAGCCCCAGGAACUGCUGGGCCCUGCUGAGAUGGCAAAGCUAGGGCGUGGGUGGGGGAUGGAUGACACGUACAAGCAUGUUCGUGCUGCGAGCAGAGGAGCCUGCCCUGGACACAUCGCCUUCAGGAGAUGUCAGGGAUGAUUGUUCUGUGCUUGGAGCACUGUCCAGUGUGGUGGGAGUUGUAGAAGGGCUGGAACUGCAGAAAGCUGAGAUAAAAGCCCUACCCCUUC
rnacentral:lncRNA from 1 species